ensembl:lncRNA
GGAUCUUCCUGACUCAGGGACUGAACUCACAUCUCCUGUGUCUCCUGCCUUGCAGGUGGAUUCUUUACCGCUGAGUCAUCGGGGACGCCCCUCUCUAGGUGGGAAGCUGCCAUCUGUGACCUCUGACUUAAGUCACAAAUGCUUCCAAAGGGGUUUCACAGAACCCCAGAUUUCCGGGAAAGCUGACAGGACUUCUGAGAGCGGCAGCUGAAGAAGUAAACGUGGCCUUUGAGUGUUUCUGUGAAACGAAUGGCAUUUUCUUAUUUAGGUUCUUGAGACGAUUUUAUUUUAGGGUGAGUUCCUUUCUCUUCUCAUAACUCUCAAUUCCACCCUCACAUUUAUGCCGUGCCCGGGCAUCUUUCCGCCACGCUGGAGCAAAGAUCAAAAGUAAAUAUUGGCAGAACAUUGGUUUUACUGUGACCCAGAUAAGGAACAGCCUAAAACGGAAAUAGCGAGAUUUUAUUGUUCCUCCCACAACUUCCCUCCUCACCGGGCUCCCUCAAUAUUUAAUUAUGAACUUCACUUCAUACAAAGUCUUGGUGUUAAUUUGGUUGCCAACAGGGCGGGGCCUGAACAACUCCAGGAGCUCCAGGCUAUAAAUAACCCCAUGAACAGCGCCCCCUGGAGUUGUGCCAUGGCUGCGUACACGUGUCGAUUCAUAUCAUCAUCUCAUUCUCAUUGACGGGGCAGAGGAAUCUUUUUUGCUUCAGCAAAUGUUUCCUGCUUUGUGAAAGAAACAUGAGCACACAGAAAAAUUCAGACAGGGCUCAUGAUAUGCUGUCCAGUCCUCUCUCUCAUGGUGCCCGGCAGGGCAGUGAGCCAUAGCUCCCAGUCGGCGCCACGGUCACUAGAGUGAAGAGCUGAUACACAGACAGCCGUCCUGGACCCAGACGUCCAUCCUGUUCUUCCCCGUCAGCACCGUAUCAAUAGAUCUGGUCACGUGAUGGAUCACAUGCCUGAGCCAGCUGCCAAGGACGCUGGGAAAGUGAGGGCCUGGUCACUGUUGUGAAGAUAGUUUCGAUCCUCAGCGGGUUGAAUCCACAGACGCGGAACCCUCCAUGUAAAGGACCGACUAUGUCAACCUCCUGGGGCACAGAGAGAUCCCCUCGCCCCAUGAGUGGGCCUGUGCAGACAGAGACGGUGAGCGAUAUAAAGAUGCAGUGGGGCAGACAGAUGCCUUUUGGACGAGCAAGUCAAAGAAUCCUGCCCGUUACCUGGAACCCCGAGGCCUCCUGGUCCAUCGUGAGUGGAGGCCACGGAUGCAUCCAAGCAUCCUACAAUGCCCUGGGCACUAGGAGAUACGGAGAAGUACGGAGAUGAAAACAAGAAGGCCCCCCUCCAGAGAGAAACAACACACAGAUUUUUUGUGGAAAUUUGGCUUAGUUAAUUUAUUUGUCCUAAGUUCCUUCUCUGGCCUGCUUUUUCAUUUGUCACAAAAAUAAAACCUGAU